rnacentral:lncRNA from 1 species
AUGCACGCUAGCUCGUUUGUGUAUGUAGGCGGGUCUGAGCGUAUGUAAAUGUAUAUUUAUAUACGUUUGAGUUUAUGUGGAUGUGUGUGUGUGUAUGAGUGUGCAUAUGUGCACGUGGAUAUGUGUUUUCAUGUUUUCAUAGACAAACAUGACUGUUACUGUGAAUAUGGGCCUGAUCGUAUAACUGAAAGUGGGGGUGUCAGUGUAUUUCAUGUGUCAGUAUUUGUGUAUGUGUAUGUGUGACAGUAUGUAUCCAUGUGUUUGUGUAUGUGUCAGUAAACUGGUCUUCAAAUGACGAGAAAGAAAUGAAGGCAGUGGACAUAGUUAAAUCUUUAUAUCCAUAAGCUGGAUGAAAUACGGAGGAUACAAAAUGUUUUCAAGCAUUACAAAGCCACUAUAAAUGUUAUCAGGUGUCCUUUAAUGCUCCUGAGAAAGGAAACUAAAAAUUGGAUUUGUCUACAGUAUUUCACAUCAGCAAAAUCUUUCAUGAAGGGAAGGGAAGAAAAUGUACAAUACAGUAGUAAACAGGAGAAAGAAAAAUGAACAGAAAGAGCGACUGAAGUGGAAGAGAAAUAAAGCAAGCCAGAUAAGAAGUAGGCUACAUGAGACGUGAACCAUAAUCAAAUGGGCUGGACUGCUAAAAAUUUUCAAGAUUCCAGAGAAAUUUACCCAGAAGAUAUGAAGAUGUAAGAACCAAUACAAAAUGAGCUAUCACCUACAGAAACAUAACAGGGAUGAAAUAUCCACUCAAAAAUAUUAACUAAAUAUUAGAUAAAAAAUAUGAAUGUAAUAAAAAUUAAAAUAUUAAAAUUCCAAUUCCUUUUGAAAAAUCCUCCUUUCAUUAAGAAAAUAAUUAAUCAGGUGUCAGAAGUAUAUGUUACAGGAUAAAUGAUUUUUCUCCAAUAAGAGUAAAAUUUGACUAUGCAUUGUUAUGUAUCAGUAAUCUGACAGGGUGGACUAAAUUAGUAACUCAUCACUUGUUUUUUAAUCACAACUCAGACUUGAUUGAGCAGACCUAUAGUCAAAGAUUUUCUGACCUUGAGCAUUCCAUCUUUUGUUUUAAAACAUAGUCUAUUGAAGACCACAUUAUCUAAUAAGACUUUUCUUUUCUUUUUUUUUUUAUGUUAGGGUACAUGUUGAAGAAAAUUUGGCUGCUAUUUCUAGUGAGUUGAGUGACCACAGAGAGAUUGCCCUUCAUUGGCUUGUAAAUUUUGUGCUGAUAUUUGGUACAAUUGUCUCAUUAAGGAUCCCUUUCUUUAUAUGACUUACAGGAGAAAGGGUAGCACCUGUGAUCUUUUGAAGGACCUCAAAGACUUGGUUGGAGGGAAAAAGUAAAGUUAUCCUUAGACCAGAGACUCUGCCUGAAUAUUUACAACAAAGUGGAUAUCAUUAAAGGCAUCAAGGGUCAGGUGAUGUUAAACCAGGCUGUGGAUUAAUUCAUUUGUGCAUUCCCUAAUUCACAUAAUUGUAGAGAAUCAAUAGAGUAUCUGGUAAUCUUAUCUGCAAUACAUAGUGUUCUAUACAUAGAUUUCUUUCAUUCACAAACAGCACUGAAAGGAAAGUUGAACACCAGCUUUAUGAGCUUGUGAAAACAUCAUUUAUCAUGCAAGUUCACAUAUAUAUAAUCAAUAAUAAUUAUAUUCUCUCAUGUUGAGUCAGGUCUAAGAAAUCUUAUUUUCUUUUCAUGCUCAGAGUCUCAGAACAAUAGCAGUAAUAUAGCACAUAACAAUGAAGCCAUUUCUUUACUUACCAAUCUGAAUCUAACAAUUUUUGGUAGCAAUGAAGAAUUUGAAAUGUUUCUAAACGUGUUGCUCAGCAAAGAAGACUUCAGUUGAGAUUGAAAUACAAAAGCUUGAUGGAUUAUCUUGAAACCUGAUAAGACAAGAAAACUAAUGUAGACAGAAUUUUGAUAGAAAUAAAGAAGGGAAAUUACAUGCUUUCUAUUAUAGUUUAUAUAAAUCUUAUGAAAAUAAUUUUUCAAUGCUAACUAUUCAUUCCAGAAUAUUCUAACUCUAUGUGAAAAUAUCAUUGCUACUUCAAUACUGGUAAACAACAAGGUAAAGCAUUUCAUGUGUAAAUUACAGACUGAAAAUUGGGAAAUAGGUAUAUAUCAUAUACCAGACAUUCUAUGCCCAUUUCAAUUAUCCUUCUCUUGUUGAAAAUCAAUAAACAAUAUAGUUUAAACGUUCUAAAGAACUGCAAAAUAUAAAAAAGGGUAAAAAGAGAAAUGGAAAAAUUCUAAUGGACUAAUGAAUUAGUCUUUAAUCUAAAUUGUAGUUCUGGUCAACAAAUUUUUUGCUUUGAAUAAAGUUUCCUGAAAACCAUUAAUAGUCAAGGAAACCAAGUUGUCUUUCCAAAACUACCAACUGCCUUUAUACGUAUAUGUAUUGACAAUUAACGGAAAUAGAUGUUCACUCAAUUGUAUAAACAUUACUGUGUAUUUCAAGAUGUUUUGAUAGACAGAAAAAAAAUUGAAAAAAAAGACAUCAAAUAAAAUGAAAAUACAAUCAGAAAAUAAAAAUGUGUGAAUAUUG